AACAGCAUCUCCCAUAGGAGCAGCGUUAGAAGGGGGACCGACGCUUUCAAAGGCAUCACCAUCCAUUUCUUUGUUUGACGAGCUACCUUCAGUGGGAUCGUCAUCUAUUGCUGCAGCAGAUGCUCCCUCCGAUGAAGUAGUCAAAGGAACUUAAAGUCGUCUCUGAAAUUCCCGCCAAUCCUCCUCGGGAUUUGGAUCGUACAGAUCAAAAUUAAUCAUCUCAAAAUUCUCUCUAAAGAGAGGAGGUUCCAUAUUCACCCGGCAGAAGUUGAAAGGACCAUAGACGACUUGUAAAGCCAAUACUAACUGGUCUUGAAAGGAGUCCAGUAGCUUCCCUUGAGCAAAAGAAAAAGAAGCCUUAUCACUAGCUCGAGAUUCUUUCUCCUUCAACAGGUCAACUUGCAAGGCCUCCAGUCGUUUGUCUUUCUCCUCCAGUUGUUAAGCCUUUGUCUCCACCUCCUUCUCCUUCUCUUCCAAGUGAUCCUUCAAAGCCUACACAUCUGUAAUCAGAUUCUUGACGUGCCUCUUUAAGUUGGAGGACCUUUUGUUGGCCUCAGUAACAACCUUCUUCUCUUUCUUGGAAGCCUUGGCAGCACCUUUCACUUUAUCUCAAGCUGUCUGAAGGACUAAUGUCUCUUGAGCGACCCGAUUGCAAGCUAACUUCAAAACUAGUAUGGGCUCUAUAGAGCAUAUAUAAAACAUUCAUCAUUAGCCAAGCAAACUAAAUUUAAUUAAGCUUACAGAUUUGCGAAAACUACCUAAAGUAGCAGCAAUAGCUAAUGGAAAAACAACAAUAGGGAAAGAUAGGUAGCCUACUUCCGCAAAAGUAUUACCAGCCACAGUAGGGAUGGAGUGAAGGAGGGACUCCCCUGAAGUGAUAGGGGUGGAAAUUUGGCCAACAACUACAGUUGUCGUGUAACAUCCUAUAUCCGACUCGGUAAUCGGGUCCGAACUACAGGAUGUCACAUCCGUUG
rnacentral:lncRNA from 1 species